UACGAAGGGAGCUAGCGUUGUUCGGAAUCACUGGGCGUAAAGGGUGCGUAGGCGGGUCUUUUAAGUCAGGGGUGAAAUCCUGGAGCUCAACUCCAGAACUGCCUUUGAUACUGAAGAUCUUGAGUUCGGGAGAGGUGAGUGGAACUGCGAGUGUAGAGGUGAAAUUCGUAGAUAUUCGCAAGAACACCAGUGGCGAAGGCGGCUCACUGGCCCGAUACUGACGCUGAGGCACGAAAGCGUGGGGAGCAAACAGG
rnacentral:rRNA from 1 species